AAGGUUCGGGUCUGUGGUUGAAAGCCGAAGCCAGUCGCAGGCAAAGCGGUCCACGUAAGCCAGGGGAAAUUCCCGGUGAGCACGGUGCGGUUUAGACGUAAGUCCGGCCGGACAGACAGUCCGAGAGAGCGGAGUGGGGGCCAGCAAGGCUAUGAGCAAAGCUCCUGCCGGCGAGUGUGGGGUCAAAAACCAGGUCAGCCAAAUCUU
rnacentral:ncRNA from 1 species